AUUCAAGAUUUCAUUAAUAUAAUUUAUUUCUAUUAUCCAUAUUACAAUGUUUUUUUCUAGCAGUGUGUGGUUGAGCUGAGACUGAAAAUCCUCUCUCUAAUGGCCGCGGCUCUGAUCACUGUAUUGAUUGGAACCCACCGGAGUGAGAUGCACCACCUGAUUUCCUACGCCGAGAAAGUCUCUGGUAAAAUUCUGCCCUCCAAUUUCAUCCUUAGCUCCCCCCAUUAAUGGCUUCAUCGGACGGCCAUCCGAUAAGACCGCGGCAGCAGCGGCUGAGUUGUUCGUUCCAUAUGCCGCCCCGGUGGUGGAGGCAUUGAAGAGAAUCGGCGGCCCGGCUGGGGUUCUGGUGGGCCCCAUUUGGGCGGCAUUUUGGAGGAGUGCGGUGGCGGACAUGUGGGGCGCCGCUGCGUACGAGGAGGCCGUCGUUAGCGGCUCCGACAAAAAAAGGUGGUGAUUUUCCGAGAAGAAUGUAGGGUGGUCGGAGAAGCCGUGGAUGGCAGUGGCCGAAGAGAAAAAGGGGUUAGGAGUAUUGGGAGGAGGGUCGAGCCAGAGCGGGAGCUGCGGUGGCGACGACAGCGGAAGAGGAUGGGGCUUGUGGUCGCCGUCGUGGUCGGAGAUAAUGUUAGGAAAAUUGUGGGCAAGGGAGGUUUGAUCGGCAGCGACAGUGGCGGUGACGAAGUUUGGUUGGAGAAGUAGUGAAGAAGAAGUAGGAG
rnacentral:misc_RNA from 1 species